rnacentral:rRNA from 1 species
UACGGGGGGGAGCAAGCGUUGUUCGGAUUUACUGGGCGUAAAGGGCGCGUAGGCGGCCAGCACAAGUCAGUUGUGAAAAUCUCCGAGCUUAACUCGGAACGGUCAACUGAUACUGUGCGGCUAGAGUGCGGAAGGGGGCAACUGGAAUUCUUGGUGUAGCGGUGAAAUGCGUAGAUAUCAAGAGGAACACCUGCGGCGAAGGCGGGUUGCUGGGCCAACACUGACGCUGAGGAGCGAAAGCGUGGGGGAGCGAACAGG